rnacentral:lncRNA from 1 species
ACAACAGAGAUGGCAUUGAGCAUGACGGGUGGCUCUCCAGCAGACGUGGAUUCUGGUGGACGUGUGGCAUCGGUAGAACAACAUUUGCUACUCCCCCGCUCCAGCCUACCUGGGCCAGGGAAGGGGCUUGGAGGUAUCUUCCCAGAGGGAUUGUACUAAGGGUCACACUGUUCCUAACUGAAGCCACCCUGAUACCCUCUUUCACCCAGUGGCAUUUGCAACUGAACACAGCAUGUGCGUGAAGGAGCUGUCGUGCUUGUUGGGAAUAGUGUCACACAAGAGCAUAAAGUCUCCAGGACCAUACCCUCCACCCUUCCUACACAUAAGACGUGGACUCUUGUUGAAUUUUGAUGUGGUAUCAGAGAAAGGUACCUAGAAUUACCUGAAUUUGUUCUCAAACAUUUCUUUUCAGGUGUAAGUUUGCAAAGUGAGGGAUUUGUAUUCUUUCAGACAAGUCUUGUCAUGUAGUUCUGGCUGGCCUAGAACUUGCUAGAUAACCCAGGCUGGCCUUGAAUUUGUGACAAUCCUCCUGUCUCAGCCUCUCAAGUGUUGGGAUUACAGGUCACGAAUCACCACACCUGGUUCCCCUGUAUUCUUCAAAUAAAACGUGAGUCAAAAGAGGCUGAAUAAAGAGGCACACAUGGAAGACAGGAGGCCUCUGUUAACUAGGACAGCCUUGCAGGAUCUAGAAUCACAUAGGAUAAAAGGAUCUGGGCACAUCUGUGAAGACAUUUUUGGAUUGGGCUGAGAUAGGAAGACUCAUCCUGAAUGUGGUGGCACCAUUCCCUAGGCUGGAGUGUUGGACCGAAUCAAAAGGAGAAAGUAAGCUGCGUACCAGCAUUCAUCUUUACUAUUUCCUAACUGCAGAUGCAGAGCUCCCUCCAGCUCCUGUUACCAAGCCUUAUCUACAAUGGUGGAUGGACUCAAGUUAUGAACUCAAAUAAUCCCUUCCUUCUGUGAGCUGCUUUUGUUAGGUAUUACAGCAAUAAGAGAAGUAAUUUGUAUGAAAACUAGUUCACUUUUCUUGAUAAAAGAAAUUCCCAAACCCAAA